UCGCCGGGGCUUUCUCCCAAGGCCUCGAUAUGGUGGUGAACGUGGCAUGGAGGAAUCGGACCUGCCUACCCAGUGGGCCCGACCUCCAGAAGGGACCCUCGGUCUUGAGAGGGGUCGGAUCCCGCUGGGGCCGCACCCUUCUCUCGCUUCGGCCUGCGCAACUGCGCUCUGGGCUGACAGGUUGCCCCCAAGUUUCCUGGCCGUGUGUGAUCCUGAGGAGGUGAGCUUGUUUCUGGAGCUGUGCUUUAAGGUAAAGUUGAUGUGGAACACAGCUUAAUCCUCCUGUUCCCUUUCCCAUCGGAUCUGAACACCGGUCUUGGUGGUCGUAAAAGGAGGAAAAGUAAUAGUGAAGCUGGCCUGAAUGUUGUAAUCUGGUAUAUGGCAUGUGGGCUACUUUCAGACAGGUUCAGAGAUGGUUGGAUCUCUGAAAUUGUAAAAUGAAAUAUAGGCUAAGGGAAGGAUGUGUAUGAAGCUCUGGAGGUUGGUAUAGUAAUAGCAUUUAGGAGGGAUCUGUCAUAGCUUUCUUGCCUCUUAAUUAAGGUGUUUUCUUUUAGAUUCAUGUUACAUGCAAAGCUGUCCUCGUGUGACUAUGGACCUAUGGAGUUGGGUAAGUUAGUGACCAGCCGAAGCUCUGUCAGCGUGUAGCUGCAGGUAGUGCUCAGUUUUCGGGGAUCCUGUCCUAAGUAGUCAGCCUAAUAGAACUAUAAGGUUACUUAGGUCUGUGUCAAAGUUUUUUUGUUUUUGUUUUUGUUUUUUUUUCUUUUAAAGACGGGGUCUUUCUGUCACCCAGGCUGGAGUGCAGUGGCACGAUCUUGGCUUAUUGCAAACUCCGUCUCCCAGGUUCAAGUGAUUCUUCUGCCUCAGCCUCCUGAGUAGCUGGGACUAUAAGCAUGCACCACUAUGCCCGGCUAAUUUUUGUAUUUUAAGUAGAGACAGGGUUUUGCCAUGUUGCCCAGGGCAGUCUUGAACUCCUGACCCCAAGUGAUCUGCCUGCCUUGGCCUACCAAAGUGCUGGGAUUACAGGCAUUUCAGUAACAUUUACAUUUGGCCUUCCUUGUGUGCCCUGUUUGUUAGCUGUUCAUUACCAGAGGGCAAAGGUGCUUAGAACAUGAUUUGCCCACCCUGCAAGACCACAUAUUGCUGGAAGUUGAAGGCAGCAGAGGGCACCAUGGGCCACGAGGCCUGGUAGCCGCAAAUGUUCAGUGGUGGCUGGAGCUCAUGAUGCAUUCUUUGGUAGGACUUCAAGGGGUUCCAUGUAGCACACACUAUUUAGAAUGACUGGUCCAGGAUGAAACCUAAUCUGAGUGGACAUCCAUGGAUGAGAAAUGCGGAUAUGGGACUGAGACCAGCUCCUAGGAAAAUGCCUGAGUGUGGGGGAAAUCUGGGAAUUUCUAACACAAUGGCUUAUACUUCCUUUGCAGGAGAAUCUCUAUGGGAAGCAAAAGGCAAGACCCCGGUCAUUUUAGGUAGAAACAACAGCAUGCUCUAGGUGUAGAUCAGUUGAAGAUUAAUAAAGACUGAUAAAAGUAUAUUUGUGUUUGUAUU
rnacentral:lncRNA from 1 species